rnacentral:rRNA from 1 species
UACGAAGGGUGCAAGCGUUACUCGGAAUUACUGGGCGUAAAGCGUGCGUAGGUGGUGGGUUAAGUCUGUCGUGAAAGCCCCGGGCUCAACCUGGGAAUGGCGAUGGAUACUGGCUCGCUAGAGUGCGGUAGAGGAGAGUGGAAUUCCCGGUGUAGCAGUGAAAUGCGUAGAGAUGUGGAGGAACACCGAUGGCGAAGGCAGCCCCCUGGGUCAAGAUUGACGCUCAUGCACGAAAGCGUGGGGAGCAAACAGG